UGGGAUUGCCAUAUCUGAACUGCCACUUUCAAUGAUAAAUCUGACGGGGCUAGUUUUGUAGAGUAUGAGAAAUUGUAAGAACCUUGGGAGUCUUCCAAGCAGCUUCAGUUUUUUGAAAUCUCUGACAAAUCUUGAUCUAUUUGGCUGCUCAAAGCUUUAUAGCUUACCUGAGAGCUUUGGGUAUCUAAAACGUUUGGAGAAG
rnacentral:misc_RNA from 1 species